rnacentral:rRNA from 1 species
AAGCGUAAUAGCUCACUGGUCGAGUCGGCCUGCGCGGAAGAUGUAACGGGGCUAAACCAUGCACCGAAGCUGCGGCAGCGAACGUAUCACUUAAAGCGAUUCAGCGGGUUACGAUUGACGGAGCGAAGCGACGUCAAAGCGUAUACAAAGUCGAGUCGGUUUAAGGAUACGUUCGUUGGGUAGGGGAGCGUUCUGUAAGCCCGUGAAGGUGGCCUGUGAGGGUUGCUGGAGGUAUCAGAAGUGCGAAUGCUGACAUAAGUAACGAUAAAGCGGGUGAAAAGCCCGCUCGC